UACGUAGGUGGCAAGCGUUGUCCGGAUUUACUGGGCGUAAAGAGCUCGUAGGCGGUUUGUCGCGUCUGCCGUGAAAGUCCGGGGCUCAACUCCGGAUCUGCGGUGGGUACGGGCAGACUAGAGUGAUGUAGGGGAGACUGGAAUUCCUGGUGUAGCGGUGAAAUGCGCAGAUAUCAGGAGGAACACCGAUGGCGAAGGCAGGUCUCCUGGGCAUUAACUGACGCUGGAGGAGCGAAAGCAUGGGGGAGCGAAACAGG
rnacentral:rRNA from 1 species